rnacentral:misc_RNA from 1 species
GAUGAAGAACGUAGCGAAAUGCGAUAAGUAGUGGGAAUUGCAGAAUUCAGUGAAUCAUCGAAUCUUUGAACGCACAUUGCGCCCCUUGGUAUCCCGAGGGGCAUGCCUGUUCGAGCGUCAUUUCACCACUCAAGCCUGGCUUGGUGUUGGGCGACGUCCUCUUUGGGGACGCGCCUCGAAACGCUCGGCGGCGUGGCACCGGCUUUAAGCGUAGCAGAAUCUUUCGCUUUGGAAGUCGGGGCCCCGUCUGCCGGAAGACCUGCUCGCAAGGUUGACCUCGGAUCAGGCAGGGAUACCCGCUGAACUUAAGCAUAUCAAUAAGCGGAGGA